CUGGUCUAUUUCGUGUCUGUGUGCUUCCCCUUCCUGCUCAGUUUGUCAUAUGUCAACCUCUCUGUCUUACUCUUGGAUUUUUGUUAUGUAACCAGUUUUUCCUCGGGGUAUUUGUGUUUAUUUUGUGUCUUUCCUUUUACUUGGACAUUGUGGAUGUUUGGACUUGGAAACUGAAGCUUUACUUUUUGUUUGGAUGCAAGUGGGUCUUCACCCUUGUUUGUCUACCACUUUGACAUAGAAGCCCUGAGAGGCAGACAAGAAGAAAAAAAAUAUCAGAGACCUUGGAUAACACCUAUUGGUCAAGUUGUUGAUUGAAUGGCGAUUCAGCCAAUCACAGCCGUUUGACCAACCCAUCAGGCCAGUGUAGCGUUUACAGUUGGAUCACGUUGAGGUUACGUGUGCCUGGUUAGAGCUCAGAGACAUCAUGUAGUCACCUUGCAGACCCAGGAGCUCGGGGGCUGUGGAGGAACGCCCCAUGUUUCCAGAGGUCCGGGGUCUUGCUGGAAGCAAAGAGAACUCUGUGCUGUCACGAAAGGGUUCAGACUGAGAGUUCCUCCUCGGCACGCUGUGGACCGACAUCAUGGUUUCAUCUGCAUCUCUCCUCUCAUGCAUCACACACACACACCAUGUUUUUCUGCAAAGACACAAUGUACACACUCAGCGUUCAGCCAGUUAUACCUUCAUGACUCACCAUACAUUCAGUGUAAUGAGUCUGUUUGUAUCUGAGAGUUUAGAGCCAAUAAAUUAACCUCUUUUAUAGCCAUGUCAUGGAUUA